AGUGAAGCUGUCCAAGGCCAAGUCCUAAGGCUCCAAUAUCCACGGGGAAGAGAUUGGAGAGGACAUAUCCUGGGAGCUUGAGAAGUGACCAGUGAGGUGUGAGAAAACCCAGGAGCCUGUGGAAUCUCAGAAGGCAGGGGAAGCAUCUAGAACAGUUCUUCUCCAUGUCAAGUCCAUGUCAACUUUUUCUGGGACCAGGCACGGUAGACUCUCUACUGCAAGUCGCUUCUCAGCAAGGAGCAGACUCCUCAGAGAACCACCCUGCCCUCCUGCUGCCACCCGAGCCAUCUCACUGCCGUUACCUGAACAAGCUAAGCUUCUUCCAGCUGGCUGUGAAUGGAACUUCUGCAUCGCCAGCUUCUGGCCAUCCAAGCAACAGGACCCUACUCUGGUGGCCACCUUGCUCCGCAGAUGGUCAACACAACAGAGAAUCUUUUUAAGACAACUCCAGGCUGGUAGCCUUUUGCAAGUUCAUUUGACCCAGAGGAAAACUCACCUAUCUUUGCCCCAGCAAGCCAUGGAAAUGUAGGCCAUCCCAACAUAACCUUUUACUUCCGCUUGGGUUUCUCUAGCCAGCCUUGCACCUAUCGUGUGUCAGAAUUUUCAGGGAGGAGAAAAAAAUUGGGUAAUAUAGAUGCCAUCACUUCACAUCAAGUCAAAAUAUAUUGGCUGAAUGUCUACUAAGAGGGAAAAAUGAAAAGUGGAACGCAGAGAAGAAAGAGGUGGAGGAGAAGAAAGGAAAAGAGGAAGAAGAGAAACAGAAACACAAGCACAAGAAGAAGGAGGAGGAGAAAGAGGAGGGGAAAGGGGCAGAGGAAAGAAGAGCAGAGCAGAGAGAGGAAGGGAAAGGGACAAGAAGAACAGGAAGGAGAAGAAAUCAAAGUAGAAACUGCUCAGCUUCACGAGGCAACACUACUGUGACCAUCUUCCCCAUCACCCUCACAUGCUUGCCUGUCACCACUCACCCUCCAUGCCUGUAGCGAUGCCCCUUCGUCACACUCAUGAAUACAUUAGAGAAGUUACAGUAUUUCUAAAACUUUCAUCAUUUGGUUCCAAAGUAGCCAACUAUCUGAGGGGUUUUAACCAAGGGUCCAGUUAAUGCCCUUCCAGGAAAUGUGCAAAGUGUCCUGUUUGUAAAUUACUGUGAUGAUAGAGCAAGAGUCAUUUUCUUUCAGAUUUUAUUUUGGUUUUGAUCACGUUGAAUUUUGAUAACUUUGUCACCAAGCAUAAUUUAAAAAACAAUGUAAUUAUGGAGUAUGUAGCGCAGGUGAAAUGUAAUUAUUUGGACUCCCAGGAAAUGAGCUCUUACAAGCAAAGUAGCAACUUGAAGGAGAAUCAGGAAACCAUGUGUCAUCCUCCUCUGAUUGAGUGGUGCUACCAUCUGUGCUGGGCUGAAUCCAAGCAAGCAACCAGCCAGCCAGAAGGCUAAAGGCAGGAUCAAUGAGUUGCAACCCCAAGGAAUAUGUGGUUCCUUGAUGUUAGGCACAAUAAUUCCAUAAAUGGUUAGAGCCAGAGCGUCUUCAGAGAAAACAUAAAAAAUGAGAAGUUUACUAUUUUCUCCUGCCAGCUGACCUUCUCUACUAUGGCCCGCUCUCACAAGAAAAUAUAAGGCAUGGCCUGACAAUAAAAUAGUUGCUAUAGACGCUUUGUGUCCCCCCAACAUUUAUGUGUUGAAAACUAAUCCCCAAUGUGACAGUGUUUAGAGGUGGGUAUUGGGAGGUGAGUAGGUUAUAAGAGCAGAUACCCCAUAAGUGGACUUAGUGCCCUUAUAAGAGAGACCUAAAAGAGCUCCCUUGACUCUUCCUCCAUGUGAGGACAGAACCCUGUGAGAAUCAGGGAGCAGGUGCUCACCAGACACCAAGUCUGCCAGCAAUUUGACUUUGACUUCCUACCUCCAGAACUGUGAGAAAUAAAUUGUUGCUAAGCCACUCAGUCAAUGAUGUCUUGAUAACAUAGACUAAGACAAUAAUAAUUUGGGAAGUAAAGUUCUCUGGUAGAUAAUGUAUAACUUCAGAACAGGAACUGUUGCAGUGCGUGGCACAGAGCAAGUGUUCAAUUAAAUAAAUGGCCUGUUCAUUCUGGACCAACUUGGGACUGGAAUGGGGACUGACUCCAACCUAGACCGGACCCAGAGAUGACCAAUAGUUCUGAGGACCCAGUCCUCAGGGGAUAGCUCCACACUAGGUGGCUGGACAAAGAUGGGAUGAGUGGGAUCUCGGUAUGUAUUUGCCAUCUGAUAAAAUUAACAUCUGUGCCCUAAUUUUAAGUUGUAACCUGCUUCAGUUGUUGCAGACAGCAGAAGUACAAGGGAUAUGGAAAAAGAACAAAGUGCCAGUAUCUUUAGAGCAUCCUGAAGGCUUCUCAUGUAUGAUGUAAAUUCAGUUUUCCUUUGGGCUUUGAUCUUAGUUUCACCUAAAAAAGGAAAAUGCCUUUUUAUUUGGCUUGUUUGCAAUUUUAAAAACUUAUUUUGUAAAUAUUUUAUAAUAUUUAAAACAGUAUAUAAUGAGAACUCUGUGCCUCUUGCAGCAGAAAAUAAUUAAUAAUACUUGGCACUUAAUGGCACUUUUAAUCAUUAAAUCUCUUUGUAGACAUUAAUUAAGGAAAAGAUACUUCAUCUUUUUAAAGUUGCUGUUACGCUCCCAUCAUUGCAUUUCAUGAAUAUCGUUGCAAUGGAAAGUGAAAUAUGUAGAAUCCAAAAUAAAAAUCUACCAAAGUUUUGCUUUUAUGUGCUUUUUGUUAUACUCUGUGCCUUCAAUUAGGUUUGUAAAUAACUUCUAUUCAUGGCUCUAUCUUAAAAUCU